AUUGAACGCUGGCGGCAUGCCUUACACAUGCAAGUCGAACGGCAGCACGGGAGCAAUCCUGGUGGCGAGUGGCGAACGGGUGAGUAAUAUAUCGGAACGUGCCCAGUCGUGGGGGAUAACGUAGCGAAAGCUACGCUAAUACCGCAUACGAUCUAUGGAUGAAAGCGGGGGAUCGCAAGACCUCGCGCGAUUGGAGCGGCCGAUAUCAGAUUAGGUAGUUGGUGAGGUAAAGGCUCACCAAGCCGACGAUCUGUAGCUGGUCUGAGAGGACGACCAGCCACACUGGGACUGAGACACGGCCCAGACUCCUACGGGAGGCAGCAGUGGGGAAUUUUGGACAAUGGACGCAAGUCUGAUCCAGCCAUUCCGCGUGCAGGAUGAAGGCCCUCGGGUUGUAAACUGCUUUUGUACGGAACGAAAAGGUCUCUCUUAAUACGGGGGGCUCAUGACGGUACCGUAAGAAUAAGCACCGGCUAACUACGUGCCAGCAGCCGCCGUAA
rnacentral:rRNA from 1 species